AUUGAACGCUGGCGGAAUGCUUUACACAUGCAAGUCGAACGGCAGCACGGACUUCGGUCUGGCGGCGAGUGGCGAACGGGUGAGUAAUGUAUCGGAACGUGCCCAGUCGUGGGGGAUAACGUAGUGAAAAUUACGCUAAUACCGCAUACGAUCUAUGGAUGAAAGCGGGGGAUCGCAAGACCUCGCGCGAUUGGAGCGGCCGAUAUCAGAUUAGGUAGUUGGUGGGGUAAAGGCCCACCAAGCCUGCGAUCUGUAGCUGGUCUGAGAGGACGACCAGCCACACUGGAACUGAGACACGGUCCAGACUCCUACGGGAGGCAGCAGUGGGGAAUUUUGGACAAUGGGCGCAAGCCUGAUCCAGCAAUGCCGCGUGCAGGAUGAAGGCCUUCGGGUUGUAAACUGCUUUUGUACGGAACGAAACGGCUUUUUCUAAUACAGAGAGCUAACGACGGUACCGUAAGAAUAAGCACCGGCUAACUACGUGCCAGCCGCCGCCGUAA
rnacentral:rRNA from 1 species